rnacentral:rRNA from 1 species
AUGCCUUUGCCGCCAGCAUGGGCAGUUCCGAUGCUGGGUUCACACCCGAAGCCUGUGCAGAUCCCCACCGGCAUGACAGCAACCGCACCUUCACAUGCAGCCAGGAUCCAUCAGGCCCCCACCGCAGGAUGUGAGCAGCCAUCACAGAAACCAGAUCAGUGCCGGCCGAAACCGAGGCCAGAACCACCGCCACCUCCCCCCUGCCAUGCACCGCCAAGCUCCCAGCAGCGAGCCGCCACCAUGCUGCUGAGUAGCAGCCACCACUGUGCCCUGAACAACCGCAUCCGCCACUCCCCGAGCAGCGAGGAAGAAGGCGAAGCCAAGCCUUGGGCACCCAGCUGGCACGACUGA